rnacentral:lncRNA from 1 species
GAAGCUCUACUAUAUAUAUCUCUCCUGCUCGGCUAUUGGAAGACAGAACUUGGAAAAGCUUUAAUUAGUCUCAUACGUUCUAUUCAAUAGCGAUUCUGAGUUUCUUUCCAGCAACCCUUUUGUAUUGUUCUUAAAUUGUAUUAUCCUGGAGACUUGAUAGUCGGUAAUCAAUAUCCUUGUUCUUAGUUUAAGCCGUGUAUCGGCUUGGUCUAUCUAGAGUUGAUAGGAUCUGUUUGUAGACAAGCUUUCAAGGCUGCAGUAGUGCAGAGGUCUCAGUGGUGAGAAGGAUUGCAGAGGUGC